UGUGAGAUGUGGGGCAGACACUGCAGGAAUCCCUUCACUUCACUCUCUUCAUCUGUCCAGUCUCUCAGCUCUACUGGUUUCUUCUCUGUUUGGAGUUUCAGCACUUCUAGGAGGAUGGAGCUCUUUCUCUCCGAGAGCUUUAUUCUCCAGACUGCAGGAGCUGACUGAUAAAUUGGCUGUAAUGCUGGAAGGACACUCCUGCCUGUUUGAGUCUCAUAGUCCUUCACAUGUGAACACAGAUCCAGCAGGAAAUCAGAUUGA